GACGAACGCUGGCGGCGUGCCUAAUACAUGCAAGUUGAGCGCUGAAGGUUGGUACUUGUACCAACUGUAUGAGCAGCGAACGGGUGAGUAACGCGUGGGGAAUCUGCCUUUGAGCGGGGGACAACAUUUGGAAACGAAUGCUAAUACCGCAUAAAAACUUUAAACACAAGUUUUAAUUUUGAAAGAUGCAAUUGCAUCACUCAACGAUGAUCCCUCGUUUUAUUAGAUAGUUGGUUAGGUAAAGGCUCACCAAAGCGAUGCUACACAGACGACCUGAGAGGGUGAUCGGGCCCAUUGGGACUGAGACACGGCCCACACUCCUCCGGGAGGCAGCAGUAGGGAAUCUUCGGCAAUGGACGAAAGUCUGACAGAGAAAAGCCGCGUGAGUGAAGAAGGUUUUCGGAUAGUAAAAAUCUGUUGGUAGAGAAGAACGUUGGUGAGAGUGGAAAGCUCAUCAAGUGACGGUAACUAAACAGAAAGGGAAGGCUAAAUACGUG
rnacentral:rRNA from 1 species